UAAAUUUUUGUGCUUCAAUAUACUUAAUUUAUUUAAAUUUUAUUAUUGUUCCGGUGUGAGAGGCUAGGCCUUCUCCGUUUAUUUUCGGGAUGAUAGGCGUUGCCUUUCCCGACUGAUCGUUAUGGUAGGCUAUGCCUUCACGAUCAGAGAAACACGUGGUAGGCAUUGCCUCCAUGAAUAAAAAUAAAUAAAGGUCAAAAAUGGCAGACUAAGUCUCCUCGGACCUUGAAAUAAGUAAAAGUCAAACUGGUAGACCAUAACUCCUCGAACUUUGAAAAAUGAUCAAUAUGGUAGUCUAAGACUCCUCGGAUCAUGUGGGAGGCUAAGCCUCCAAUUUUAUUUAUGCUCUUUAAAUUUCUGCAAUUUAAAUUCAUACCUUUAGUUUCUGCAUUUCAAUUUCCGUCUUUAUAUAUUAUUAUUCUAUGAAUUCGGUUAUCAUAUCAAAUUUGACAAAGCUCAAAAUAAAUGCCCCUGAUAUUACGGGAAAUAGUUAUAUGACCUGGGCAGUGGGUGCAAAGACGCACCUGAGAAAAAAUGAGCUUUGAGAAAUCAUCGAUAAGUUGAAACUAUAUCGGAUGAGAAAAAGAUAAAGCCAUGAUAAUUUACACCACUUUAAUGAUGGUUUAUAAGAUGAGGUGUAUCAUGAGAAAGAUCUAGAAGAUCUUUGAAUAAUCAAAUCCUUGAAAGAAAGGAUUCACCAAAUUUUUGGAGUUGAUGUAAAUCCUCCGUGAGAAUUGAAAAAGAAAAGAAACUCAUGAUACUAAACGAUCAAAUCGGUCCUUCUUGAAAAGGACAAGGGUGUGGAUGCGGUUGAAACUGCUAUCGUGGUUGUGGAAGAGGACGAAGAAGAAGAUUUCAUCCCUAUGAGAAUAAUGGAAACUUCCACGAAAAAUGAAAGUGGUCGGGUAAUAAAAGGCAAACAGAAAAGGUUUGCAAUAGAUACGGCCAGAAAGAAAAUUAGGUACGUAUUUUUCGUACGCCAAAUAUUUAGCCGAUCUAUAUCGAGAUUCAAAAAGAAAAAGAGAGAGGAAGUGAAAUAAACUUCAUCUCUUAUGAGCCCAGACCAUUUUUUCAUAGCUUGAACACUCAUCUUGAUGAUUCAGAUUUUCUGGUUGGUCCAGAAAAUAAAAAUAAAAUAUCGAUGUGAUAUGAGAAUUAUCUUCCUGAAUAAGAUUUUGAGAUUCAGGAUGGAGAUAGAUGUACCUGGCAGAUAUUGGGUCAUCGUACAUGACUACUAAAGGUAACAAAUAUUUCUCCUCUCUCAAAAUAAGUAAGUACAAUAUCUAUUACUGUAAAAAUUAUUAUUGGCUCUAGAGGAGCUUAUGAUGAAAAGACAUGCAUAAGAAAAGGAUGGCAAAAGUAUAAAUGAGUGGUAAACCUAAAGUUUACUGAUAUAUAGCCAUCUCCAAUAAUGUUAUCCACAUUAUUGUGAAAUACUGAAAAUAAAGGAAACCAUCAUUGGUGUUGAAUCAUCAAACAAGUUCAUAAUAUGUGAUUUCUUUAAGCAGACCCCAAAUUAAGAUCUCACUCAAAAGGAUUUGAAACAUAAUUCUUCCCAAAUGAGAAAACUGAAUAUGUUAUUGGUUCUAGAGUGAGAUUCAGUACGAGAUUUUAGACAUGGAGUGUCAUCAUCUCGAGGGGGAGAAUUAAAGAAUCCUAGUAAGUGGAACAUUGAAAAAAAUUAUGUUCGCACUCGAAAAAGAACUUGAUAAAGUAAACUCAAGUAAGAUGAUCCCCAUGAUCGGGUGUAAACAUGCAGUUGUGCAUGUAAUAAAGACAUAUACAAUCCAGAGGGAUAAAGUAUAUGGAUAAUUAAAAAUAUGCUCGCAAAUUUGCUAGAAGCAUAUGAUAAGUUGAUGGAAUGAGAUAUGUGAAAUGGAUUACAAUGAAAAGUAGAAUAAUCCAUUUACAAAAUGCCUGCCAGACAUUUUGAUGAAAUAAUGAAAUCUCAUAUUCCAGCUGAAAAUGCUCCAAUAAGAAAAUGUGUCCUAAAAGGACGAUAUAUGAGUCUAUAACACACUGGAGACGUGAUAGACAUCUUUGGUUCCAAAGAGUCCUCGAAAAGGAGAAAAAAUAUAAAUAGAGGGUGAAUCUCAUGAUGAGACCGUUGAUAUGGUUAAUACAAUAGUCAGGUACCUGGGUAAAUCAUCGAUGAUGAUAAAGAGAUCUCGAUUAACCAUAUCAGUACGAAUAAAAAGAUGGAACCAAAGAGAAAAUAGAUUGUCGACAAUAAAUGAAAAAGCGCUAUAUAAAUAAGGAUUAUGAAUCUACCUCUAUGUAUGAGGGUAGAGUGAAUUGAUUGGCCAUCAAUUCGAUAUAAAGCUCGUUAGAAAAACGAGAUAUUUUUGGACCAAAAGUCCAAGGUAUAUAUUUCUCCAGAGAAUGAAAUAAAAGAUGACCUUGCGGUAUGAAAAAUGGCUUGUUCCAAGGUCACUGGAGAAUAUUUAAAAAUAGAUGCAGUAUAUUAAAAUGUCUGGCAGGACAUAAACGACUUGAGUUGCAUCUUGAUAUUUAGAAGUCCCUGGAGAGUUAAAGAUGCUCUCGGGAAUGUAUAAAACUCUGGAAGAGUUAGAACACGCCGUAUAUAAGGUAUCUUGAACCAGUAACUGGUGAUAUGUUUAUGGCACAGUUCGCCGAUUGCCAUUUAAUGAGGAUGAAUUUCCAGCGUUAGGGGGAGGAAUUAGAAAAAUUCCUAAAGAGAUUACAUGGUGUACAUAGUCGUUGUUACACCUUGAUCCCCCUGCGAAUCAAAAAGAGCUGAAAAUUCAAGAAAUUGUGCAUUUGCAUAAUUUGGCAAACCAGUUACCAGAUGUGUUCACAGAUACGACAUGAUAUACCCGCUGAAAAUGUUCUAUCAAGAGUUGAUGUUCCUAAAGAACAAUGUGAUGGUAACAAAAUAAAUGAACUUAGGGUUCAGUUAAAGAGGGGGAGACUAGCGGGUUCUAGAGAUAAAAAUCCCCGAAAGAAAUUGGUUGAGAAAAGUUGCAAGGUUCCUGAAGAACCUGAUACUGAAAAAUGUCUGAAAGAAGACAUAAGUGGAAAGGUUCAAAGAGAACCUGAUACUGAAAGAUGUCUGAAAUAAGGCAUAAGUGGAAAGGUUCCAGAAGAACCUGAUACUGAAAAAUGUCUGAAAGAAGGCAUAGAUGAAAAUGGUCAAGAUGAACCAAAUAAAGAUGAUCCAGAUGACGAAAAGGGAACAUAAAAAUAUGAGAUUUCCAUCAACUACACCCUUGAUGAAAGAGUUAUAAGAUAAAAGAUGUUGAUGGAAUGUUCUCCUUUUCUGUCCAAAGAGAUCGAUCAUAAAAGUGAUGAUCCUGAUCCAAGGUCCAUUUUGGAAUGUUAAAAAGACAUGAUUGGGAGGAGUGGCAGAAGGCCAUUCAAAUUGAAUUAUUCUCCCUGAAUAAACGAAAUGUCUUUGGACCUAUAGUCAUAACGCCUGAGAAUAUAAAUCUUGUUGGGUAUAAGUGGGUAUUCGUGAGAAAAGUAACACGAUAUAAAACCUGAUUAGUUGCCCCAAGAUUUUCUCAGAGACCGGAAAUUGAUUUUGAGGAAAUGUAUUCUCCGGUAAUGGAUGCAAUUAUGUUUAGAUUUUUGAUGAGCCUAAUGGCAUCUAAAAAUCUUGAAAUGCAUCUUAUAGACGUUUUGACUACAUAUUUGUAUUGAUCGUUGGAUAACGAUAUAUGUAUGAAACUCCCUGAGAGAUUGAAAAAGCCAGGGGCAUUGAAAGAAAAAAGAAUCCAGGGAGAUUUGUUCGGUCAAGUUACAUCGAUCACUUUACGGAUUAAAGCAAUCCGAACGCAUGUGGUACAAUCGCUUAAGUGAAUAUCUUUUGAGUAAAUGAUAUGUGAAUGAUGCGAUAUGUCCAUGCGUUUUUAUAAAGAAAUCGUCAUCUGUCUUUGUGAUCAUUGAUGUAUAUGUAGAUGACCUGAACAUAAUUGGAACUCAAAUGGAGAUUGAUGAUGCUCGAACUCAUAUGAAAGAGGAGUUCGAAAUGAAAGAUCUCGGAAAGAUAAAGUUUUGUCUUGGGCUCCCGAUAGAGCAUCUCCGAAAAAGAAUAAUUGUGCAUCAAUCAAAUCAUACGAAAAGGCUAUUAAAACGCUUUUGUAUGAAUAAAGCGACUCCUUUGAGUACUCCAAUGAUAAAUAGAUCUCUCGAUGUUGAAAGAGAUGUUUAAAAGAUCCUUGUAAGAUCUUACAUAAAUAAGUACUUUGGAGAUGCUAAUGGUAAUAAAGCAUAUGUGAGCUUAUAUAUCUUGCGAGUUGUAUUUGAUUAAAUAUAUUUUUAGAUACUAAUGUCUUUGCAAGAUCCUGCUCAUUUCCUAUUCAUGAAAAUUAGAACGGUGUCGAGAAUAUCCGUUCUCUCCAAGGUAUGUUUUAAAUUAGGGUUGAUUUAUUCUAGAAAACCCGAGUUUGGUAUGGUUUUGCAGAUACAUGCUAUUUAUAAAGUCGAACACAAACUGGAUAUGGUUUUACAAUUGGUGAAACCGCGAUUACAUAGCGUUCCGAGAAACGAUCCUAGGUUUCGACUUCUUCAAAGCAUGUCGAGAAUAUGUGUGGCUUCGGUCAAUGAGUGACCACAUAUAAGAAUUAAGCGGAAUAGUUAACGAGAAAGAGCUGACGAAAAUAUUUGAGAAUAAUUCGGCGUGGGUCGCUCAACUCAAAGAAAGCUAUAACUAGAGUGAAGUACAUCCCUCCAAGAUUUUUCUCAUACAUACGAGAACUCGAAAAAAAUAAAGAAGUGGACAUCGAGUAUGUAUGGUCAUACGAUAAUUGGGCUGACUUGUUCACAAAAGCUCUUCCGACUACAACAUUCCAGAAUGCAACAUUUGCGUGAUAUGUGACGAGAAAACUAUGUCCACUAUUCUCAGGGGGAGAUUACGGCAGUGUACUCUGUUUUCCUUGACAUGGUUUUUGUCCCAAUGGGUUUUUCAAUGACCAGAUUUUUAACGAGACACUACGUAAUACAAAAUGGAUAAUCAAGGGGGAGUAUUAUGAGAUAAGACUAACUUUGGAUAAUGAUUAUCCAUUAAGCAAAAUAUCUUGUUUUGUUUUUUUGUAUUAAGUCGGUCAAUCUAACCGACUUCUUCCCUUAUAUAUAUUGCUCUCAUGUUCAUUUGUAAAAGUUAAGUUAAUAAGAAGAAAAAGACUCAUCCUUUGACUCUCUCUUACGUAAUACAUAUAUUAUAAAAGUCACCAUCUUAUAUCCCUCUCUCCACCGAUCAACCGAUAUAUAUAUAUAAAGAAAGAAGAAUAACAUCAGAUCCUUACUUUUUUUUUUUACAACACUAAAGUUAUUUUUUACUGACAAAAAAUGGUUUACAAAGCACACGAUUUGUCUUUUCAUCAACGUCUCUUGUAAAAAAGGUCGAACAAAUAAUAAAACAAAAUAAAUCGCGGCGACUUCAUGCUCAGCUUGUUGUGCCUCCGUCGUCACUGCCGGGAUUUCACCUUGUUGAACUGGCAUCAUCUCCUCCAUAUUAGGUCCCACAUUCCCAUGCUGGUAUUGAUCACAAAGUUGAUUAUUUGUUUUUUUAAAUAUUUAUAUUGCUACUAAUACUUAGUGUAGUAAUUGAUUAAAAAUAUCAAAGACCUGGUUGAUAGAAGCGAAUAACGCCGAGGAUGAGUACGCUUGAGCCCACUCAGUGAACAUUUCACCGUUAUUAUUUGUCACGUGGCAUUCGCUCAUAUUGUUUUGGUUAGAACUUGAGCUACUCCCUUGCAACAAUGGUUCAUACAUAGCCGAUGACAAUUCUCUGCCAAUUUUUGUUUUAACCCAAAAAUAAUUAAAAACCAUUUAUGAAGAAACUGUACUAAUGUAAAUGUUUUGAUCUGAACACAAAGAUAUACUUAGAGUAAGCUUAUAAAACUAUGAAAUACCUGAGUUGAUUAGAAUGGGCCGAUGGAUCAAAUAAAUGGGUUUGGUUGGGUCCAUUUUCAGGCAACCAACCUUCUACGACUCCGUUUAAGAAAGGACCUACAAUGCUUUGUUGCAUAGUAGAUGCUUCGUAUGUAGGUAAAUGGCCGCUUAAGAGAUUCUCUCGUCGUUGGACAACAUGUGUUAACGUGUCGAGAAGUUGCUUCUCACAAACAUCAUAAUCCUCCAUGCUAGUGAAUCUUACUGGAUCCGGUUCGUAUCUCCUGCUCAAAUUAGGUUAUAUAAAGGGAUCAUUAAUUUAAUUAACAUCGUUUAUAAAUUAUAAACAUAUAGAACUUGUUUUUUUCGAACUAAAACCUUAGUUCUUCUUCUGCCAUUUGGAGUUGUUGUUGUAACCUACAGACUUCUUGCUCAAGUUCCUAGAUAUUCGGUUUACAAGAGA